UACAGAGGUCCCAAGCGUUGUUCGGAUUCACUGGGCGUAAAGGGUGCGCAGGUGGGUUUGCAAGUUCGAUGUGAAAGCCCCGGGCUUAACCCGGGAAUGGCAUUGGAUACUGCAGAUCUGGAGGAUCGGAGGGGGGACUGGAAUUCUUGGUGUAGCAGUGAAAUGCGUAGAUAUCAAGAGGAACACCAGUGGCGAAGGCGAGUCCCUGGACGAUACCUGACACUGAGGCACGAAAGCGAGGGGAGCAAACAGG
rnacentral:rRNA from 1 species